UGAAGUUUUUAGAAGAAGAAAAAAGAAAUGGUCGUAUGCAAAUCGAUCGUGAACGUUCGCUACGAUUGAAGAGUGAAGCUGUAAUUUCCGCAUGCAUUGGAGAGGGAAAGGGGAAGGAUACAUUGAUUAUACGCACCAGAUGCUAUUUUAAUUUCAAUCCGCAUCCGCGGCUGUGUACAAAAUCCUUGACUUACGUCAUGAACGAA